GGGGCCUGUGACGGUCCCAGGCAGGGAGAGCCACGUCGGGGUGGUGGUCGCCCCCAGCGCCCUGAACCUGCGAAGGCCCAGUGUAGGGGUGAGCGCGCACCGGCUGGGGGGACGUUGGAGAAGCCAAGCAGAGGCAGCCGGGAGCGCCUUCCUGCCCUCCCGGUGGAGGGGGACGCGGCAGGGACAGGCGGGCGGCCAGCCGGCUUCAGGACGCUUGACAAGGGUUUUGGCUGAGGGUGCGCCCUGGGCUCUGGAGCGCCCAGGUGCCCCGCCACCCACGGGGGGCGUGGCAUCGGGGCGUGGCCUGGGCGUGGCCGGCACCGCCUCUUCCCUUUCCUGAGUCCAGAGGGCACCUCCUGCCCGCCACGUUUCCUUCCUGCUGGGGGGCUUCUGUUCUCCCAGACCGGGUCGGUGCUCUUUUCCCCCGGCGCCCCUCCCCCACCCAGCCCGGGCCUUGCCUGCCGCAGCCACCUUCUUCUCUGAUGCUGUGUCCUGGACUUGGUGACAAUGGCAACUUGACAAGAAGGCGAGCCUGGGCCUUUCCUGCGGCGACAUCCAGCUUCCCCCGCCCCUCCCUGGGUGGGUGCCCACCACACGCCCAGCCUGCCGCGUGCUUAUCCAGGCCCUCCAGGCCAGGCCUCCGGGUCUUAUGGAAGAAGGCCCCGUGUCUGGGCAGUGCCGUGGCUGUGAGUGAGCAUCCGGGGCCAGUCAGAUGUGCCGUCUGCGGAGGUCACUUCCAUAGUGGCCAUCAACAGCUUGGCCAAACUCGGCCGCAGGAUCUUUUCCUAUCAAUUGCAGGAUGGACUCUUCCCGCAGCCAUGCGACCUGUGGCCCGCGGUCCUGCUCCCUGAGCUGGAGGAGGCUGAACAGAACGAGCAGGUUGAGGCCUGUGGGAAGGAAGAGCCACAUCUCCUUCAUGUUUAUUACCCCCUCCGCAGGCCAUAGCUAGGAGGCCUUGAAGGUUUUUUUAAGGGGGAAAGGGGGUUUCCAGAACCGCAGCCGGCUCAGCAGAAAGUCUCCACCAACAGAAUCUGUGGGCGCACAUUCCUCAACAGCUGAAGAAGGGGCUGGAGGGGCUCAUGGCAUCCCCUCCAGAGGCAGGCCCAGGGCCCUGUGUGCAGUGGGGGGUCCUGCAUCUGCAUUGUUGUUAAGAAAGUGACAUUUGGCUACACGGAGUGGCUCAUGCCUGUAAUCCCAGCACUUUGGGAGGCUGAAGCUGUCAGAUUGCUUGGGCCCAGGAGUUCGAGAUCAGCCUGGGCAACUUGGUGAAACCUCAUUUCUUUUUUUUGAGACAGGGUCUCACUCUGUAGCCAAGACUGGAGUGCAGUGGCACAAUCUCGGCUCACCGCAACCCCCACUUCCCAGGCUCAAGUGAUUCUCCUGCCUCAGCCUCCCGAGUAGCUGGGAUUACAGGUGUGCACCACCACGCCUGACUAAUUUUUGUAUUGUUAGUAGAGAUGGGGUUUCACCAUGUUGGCCAGGUUGGUGUUGAACUCCUGACUUCAAGUGAUCCACCUGCCUCGGCCUCCCAAAGUGCUGGGAUUACAGGGCUGAGCCACUGCGCCCGGACUUUUUUUUUUUUUUUUGAGAUGGAGUUUCGCUCUGUCACCCAGGCUGGAGUGUGGUGGCACGAUCUCGGCUCACUGCAACCUCCACCUCCCAGGGUCAAGUGAUUCUCCUGGGUCAGCCUCCGGAGUAGCUGGGAUUACAGGAAGUCUUUCUUGAUGCUCUUGCGUCUGGGGCUGACCCAAUACUGCCCAUCCCAUGUGGUCAUUGCUGGCUUACAGUUUUUCUUCCCAGGGUCUCCCCAAGAGCUGCUUCCUUUGACUCCUGCUGUGUGUAGUUCUGCUGACAAUGACCUGGACAGCUCUGCGCCAUGCACAGCGUCUUUUCUCCGACUUACCACAUUUUAGACACUACUGACUCCUCCAUGUGAAAGAUGGGAAUUCAGCUACAUCACAUUACCCUACAAACUUUAUUGUUAAUAUUUCUUCCUGGUCAGCCCCAAACACUGAAUAUAAAUACGGUCCAACAUCAACCUGCAAACGAACACUGACAUGAAAGUGCGGUUGGAAAGGAUCUCGCAAAGGAACAGAAUCUUGUGAUCCUAAUCGUAAUAAACGUAAUCGCCGGGUAUUGAGAGCUUGCAGGUACCAGGGCUCCGGCACUAUGUGUUUCACAGGGGCCACUCGGUAGACCUCUUGGUGACCUUGAGGUCAGGUACCACGUUCCCAUUUUACAGAGGAGGAAACUGAGAUAUCCUACGACAGCGAAAAGGUAGCAGAGCUGGGACUGGUGCCCAGGCUCGCCGAGUGGAAAAGCCCUCGGCCACCGUGGAGAGCUCGCUUCUUGUGGUCUGAAGCGUCGCCCCUGCACCGGCUUCUGCUGCCAAGGAUGGCUUUUCCUCACCGGUGCCCACCUACGCUCACUCGUGUCAUGUGGUUAAGCCCUUUUGGCAACAUAAGACCUUUCCCAAGAAUGUGCCUCGGUGCAGAGGAAGACGGUGGGGGCAGGCCCCCUCCCCAGGAUGCUCCACCCUCCCUGACCUCACACGGGUGCAACCUGGGCCGUGGCCGAGACCUGCUGUGCGGCAGACAAUGGGAAGCCUGUGUGUCGUCCUGGGUGCCGGAAGUAGACAAUAUUUAGCUUUCCCUUGGUGGAAAAGCCUUUCCCCUCCUGCUUUGGGCAGGAACUGGUUCCUGUUGGGCGGGGCCUGGCUGCUGCCCCACCCCCACCCGGCCGGGCACCUUGACUGGCAGCUCUCCGGGCUGCUCCCUGCCUGUGUCCCUGAGCACUGACUCCAGAGGUUUAAUCAUUAACGGGCACGUUUGGCCUUUGGUCGUGGGCUGGAAUUUGGGACCUGUGCCCGGGAACAAUGAUCUCCGACACAUUAUUUUGUGUAAAAUCACUUUUAGCUGCCAUUAGCUAAUAAAGCUGGAAUAAAGUGAGGUCCAUUAACCAGCA